rnacentral:rRNA from 1 species
UACAGAGGGGGCAAGCGUUAUUCGGAAUUAUUGGGCGUAAAGGGCGCGUAGGCGGCCUGACAAGUGGAUGGUGAAAUCCCUCGGCUUAACCGAGGAACUGCCAUCCAGACUGUUUUUGGCUUGAGACCGGGAGAGGUGAGUGGAAUUCCCAGUGUAGCGGUGAAAAUGCGUAGAUAUUGGGAGGAACACCAGUGGCGAAGGCGGCUCACUGGACCGGUACUGACGCUGAUGCGCGAAAAGCGUGGGGGAGCAAAACGGG